CACCUAAGUGGUCCAGAAGCCAGCUUCCUUUGGCAACUUCCCUUCAGGGUAACACUGGUGUGAAACCCCAACCUUUUUUCAUACAAUCAAUCUGCUCCCAUAGUUGGGGAGGAGGGUUGGAGUGGCUUCUGGGUCAAUUUAGUGUAUGGUAACUGAAGAUGACUGAAGCGUUCAGAAUCUUUAACUGAGGCACUUUGAUGUAGGGAUGUAUCCUCAACCUUUCCCCCUCCAUUCACUCCCUCUGCCUGAUCUAUGUGUACUGCUGGGGCCUCAUUCACACACGUCCUCCUUGCAUUAAAGGGUACAGUAAUCCCUCCUGUCAGCUUUCUGUGCCAAAGAAAUUCAUAUUUGACAAGGCUUUUGUAGGAGUUAUAUGCUUUUCUUGGGGUAGUUUUAUGACCAUGGUGGUAGUUUGACCCUUCUUCUGUGCCUUGAACCUACCAGAACACUCACUAGAACCCAACUGACCUUUUUACAUUUUGGAAAUAGUAACAUGAGAGGCAAAAGCAUCUCUGAGAAUAACAACCAUUGCCCAAGUGUAUUUAUAUUAUCUAAAGACAUCCUCUAUUAGAACCAAAGAGGACCAGAAGACCUCAAUUUUAACAGAAUACAAAAGACUUUAUUUACUAUACUUAUAACAUUAUUUAGCCUGAGGGAGGAAAAAAUCUUGAUAACAGGCUUUAUAGGCAUCAUCUUUGCCAUCACCCCUAUAACAUUAUAUAGCCUGAGGGAGGAAAAAAUCUUGAUAACAGGCUUUAUAGGCAUCAUCUUUGCCAUCACCCCCAUCAUCAUCUUCAAGAGGCUGUGGCAGAGGAAAACAGCUGAUCUUCUGGUCGCCAGCAGAUGCUCCUCCUCACUGUGGCUCCAUUUAUUCAUCACUACAAGGCCCUUCCCUGGUUAUUAUGGCGCCAUCAACACUUAAUUAAGAUGUUCACGGGAAAAGUGUCGAGACAGCAGCGAGAUGAGUGAAAUGCUGACUCGGGACACAUGCUGGAGGCCCCUCUGGUGCAGGGUUGAGCAAGGAGGAGAAAGGGACAGUAGCAGGGUAGUGGUAAGAGAGGAAACACGACGUUAUUCACACUGCCGUUACCACCGGGGCCGACCGGAAGGAGUAACCCGACUGUACCCGCAAAUGCGUAUGUGUUAUUGAUUAUAUUAGUGUCAUACUACCCAUAUUGAUUGUACUGGUCACUUAUUAUUAAUGCCUUACUAGCCUUGUUCAUUGUACUGGUCACCAUGCUCAUUGUAUGUUUUAAUGUAGUUUAUCCAAUAUCUCGUCUGACGUGCACUUAUAUGACCAUGGCCUUUAUCUUGUUAAUGACGGUUAGUAGUGUUUGCUUGCUCUGCCGUGAUAAUAAUAAUAAAGAGAUUGUGCGUCGUUGUUUCCGUAUUGUAACGCAUAUGACGCCCAUCUUUCAGGUUUGACCACUAUCAAUAAAUGAUGUGAGUUCGA